rnacentral:lncRNA from 1 species
CCCUCUCUCGCCGCAACCUAAAAUCAAUGAACUUUGAGCCAUUCUCAACAACAUUGUGUAGAACCCUAGCCCUAACCCUCACUUCCACCACCGAUAAAGCUAAGAAAGUUUUCCGUAUAUCAGAACCAUGGCGAAUUGCCUUCAGCUCUUAGGACCCAUAAUAAAUCUUGUAUUCCCUCGCUUUCACUUUGCUAAUUUUUUGUAUUAUUCCAUCUCUUUCACUUUAAUAACCCAAAAUCUUUCUCUGUUUCAAUCGAAAGAAGACCCUAGCUUAAAUUAAGCUGAAAUUUACAUAUCAAAGCUCUCGCUCAGCUUCCCUCCUUCAAUUGAAACAAAACGAAGCCAUAAGACCCCAAUAUGCCACGCCCUUUUGUCUCAGGCCAACAUUCAUUUAAACCCUACCUUUCGGUUCAAUGCCAUUUAAUGCGAUUGCAGAUGCCGUUUCAACUCAUUAUUUAGUUAACGCCAUUCAGUUCUUUGCGGUAAGCCUUAACCCUAAUAACUAAUCAACUGUGGUAGCACGUUGCUGACUGGGGUGGGAAUACAUUAAUUGAAUAUAUGAAUUGGGUGAUGUCAGUGAUUCAUCCCCCUAUUUGCCGUUAAUGGAGAUUUGUGUAUAAUGUUUGUAAGAUUGUUAAAAAUUUCAUGUUCCAGUCGAAUUUCUUGCUUGUGGAAGAUAAAACAAAAGUUUAAUCUAUAUAUAUAUAUAUAUAUAUUAGCUUCUUUAUAGUCAGGCUCUGGCUUUGCUGCUAUGCUUAGUGCAGUUUAUGGUUUCAAGAUUAAAUUAGGUUUAUUUGACGACAUUGAUAUCUUAUCUAGCUCCGCUUGAAAAUGAAAAUGUUGUACUAGUAAUCAUAGACUUUGUUUAUUCAGUUGAUAUUUUAAUUAUACAUAUAAGAAUGAAGGUUUAUUUGGGAAAAAAAGAAAUAAAGAAAUAGGCUCUGUUGAAGCUAAUUAAUACUUCAUUCUUUCUAUACGUGCGACCUGUGGUGGAAACAUGAUAUGAAAAUGUGUUACUGGUGAGGUUGCUGCUUGAGAUGAGAAUGAUGAGAAUGCCUUCUAUUCGGAAAUCCU